rnacentral:rRNA from 1 species
UGGGGAAUAUUGGACAAUGGGGGAAACCCUGAUCCAGCCAUGCCGCGUGAGUGAUGAAGGCCUUAGGGUUGUAAAGCUCUUUUACCUGGGAAGAUGAUGACGGUACCAGGAGAAUAAGCACCGGCUAACUUCGUGCCAGCAGCCGCGGUAAUACGAAGGGUGCUAGCGUUGUUCGGAAUCACUGGGCGUAAAGCGUGCGUAGGCGGCGCUACCAGUCAGGGGUGAAAUCCUUGGGCUUAACCCAAGAACUGCCUCUGAAACUGUAGCGCUGGAGUGUCGGAGGGGAUAGCGGAAUUUCUAAUGUAGCGGUGAAAUGCGUAGAUAUUAGAAGGAACACCGGUGGCGAAGGCGGCUAUCUGGACGACAACUGACGCUGAGGCACGAAAGCGUGGGGAUCAAACAGGAUUAGAUACCCGUGUAGUCC